ACAUACGACCAUAGGGUGUGGAAAACAGGGCUUCCCGUCCGCUCAGCCGUACUUAAGUCACACGCCGGCUGGUUAGUAGUUGGGUGGGUGACCACCAGCGAAUCCCAGCUGUUGUAUGUU
rfam:Talaromyces marneffei PM1 scf013, whole genome shotgun sequence.